UACCUCUUAGAUCUCCUUUCCAGACUCAAGCUUAAAUAUGUGAAGUUUUUAAAUAUAAAAAUUUAAAAUAAAUAAAAAAAAUUAUUAAUAGACUUACUUACUGUGAUGGCUGUGACAAUGAACCUAGUUGAUUGCGCAGAUGUGGAUCUCGAAGAAUUUUAAUGACCAUAUUGUGGAUGGUAUCUCGGAAGCUUUGAGGUCGUUAGCUCUAAAGCCUCCGCACGACCUCUUUUAUAUAUGUGUCAGCCCACAUCUGGAUCAUCAAGCU
rnacentral:lncRNA from 1 species